ensembl:lncRNA
GUAAGUGAGACACCAUUUACAACACUUGUAUGGGCGUAAUAACUAGUUUGUGAAAGACCCAGAAAAACACAAAUAUACGACGAAGCAAAAUCCCGGACGUUUUUGUUAGGUCUCAAAAAGAGGACAUGUCCGGGGAAAAGAGGACGUUUGGUCAGCCGAAUGAAACAGCCUGAUAACUCUGUCCUCGCAGCAGCUAACGAUGGCUCACCGCUUGUGUAGCUACAGCAGCUAGCUAGCCAUCUGCCUUCUAUUCGUAUUUAUUUCUCUACACAAUAGAAAAGCGAUGUGCUCUCGUGCCUCAUGCAGCUCUUCUGUGUUGCACGUCAAUACUUUGAGACAAACAAGGGGCGUCAAUCUAACGUAAAUGCUUUUCAAUAAAUGUCUUUAGUUCUGCACAAUGAACAUGAAUCUCAGAUUAAAUGAUUAAUAUUCCCCAAAUUCCAAUUAACUACACUUCCGCUGUUACAGAGGGGAAACACUGUAAUCAUACUGUAAACUUUCAAAAGUUCAUAUAUUGUGCAUAGUUUGAAGUGAAAAAAAACUUUUCUUCAGUUGUGUUUGGGUUCAGGCUGUUUAGGAUCGGUAUCGGAAAACCCAAACGAUACUCAUCCCUACUCUCAUGUCUGCGCGCUCAACGUGAAGCUAAAGCCAGCCGCUGGUUAGCUUAGCAUGAAGACUGGAGACAAGAGGGCUCGAAAGGGAUGUUUAAAAAUCCGGAUUCAACAGUUUACAAAUUUCCGACUUGAUGAAACAAUGGACAAAAAUCGUUCUUUAUUUAUUCUUUAAGUGUUUGCUUUCAAGAUCAAGAUGGGGUCAUAGAAAAAAACAAGUAGAGCAAAGUGUUUUAUGCACCAUGUCAAGUGGAUGAGCUCCAUCAAUACAAAUACACACACACAUUUACUCUAAAGGCUCAUUUGCAUAUUGUAGAUACCUUCACUGUAACCAUAGAGACGUUACAUCAUGAUGGAACAUUUCUCCAUGUUCCAUGUUCCAUGUUCUAUGUUCUAUGCUCCGUUCACCACAGCAUAAGAACACAGUCUGUUGCACAUCCAGUCAGUCAGUUUCAAACCUCGCAUCUACACACUGAAGUUUUCCGGACCUACACUUGCAGAACGCAACCAUGUAAUGCCUCAGGAGUCUGUAGAGGGAAUGAAGACGCGUUCUGCUGCACUUAACAGAGCUCAAGGUAAGUGAGGAAUCCAGACAGACUGCAGCCUUACUGCUGUGAAUGAUGUAUUGGUCUAUCGGGUGGGGAAGGCUGUGAUUUAAAGCUAAUACCUUGAGAUAAACCUCUGAUUCCUGCUGUUGUCAUGUAGAUGUACACAGAGACGCAUUAACAUAUAAAAGUACUUACACAGAGACGCACUAACAUAUAAAAGUUAUUUGAGGAAAUUGCACUUCUGAGUUUGUACCCUAUGGUUGAAUGCACUUAUUGUAAGUCGCUUUGGAUAAAAGCGUCAGCUAAAUGAAAUGUAAUGUAAUGUAAAAAGUACUUACACAGAGACGCACUAACAUAUUGGUAUGCACAGUGACUAGCUAAACAUAAAAAGCAAAUACAGAAAUACAGUUUAACAACCACAAAUAUAUAAUGUAGAUUUACACAUCCAUACAAACAUGAAAUAAUUAAAAUGUGCAUCAAAUUAAAAUAAUUGGAUCUAUGAAUCUUGUCUCACAUCCUGAUGAUCCUCCUCACGUCUCUUCUCCUUGUCUGUAGACCAACGGGACGCCAUCAGGACGCCACGUCAACGGGACGCCAUCAGGGUGCCAUCAGGACGCCACGUCAACGGGACGCCAUCAGGACGUCACGUCAACCCCUCAGGAGCAAAUCCAGAUCUACGCAUGACACACAUACACACACACACACAGAUGUACACACAGACACACUAACAUUUGGUUCUAAACAAUGACACACACUAACAUUUAGAUGUACACAAAGACACAUUAAUAUUUAGAUGUACACACAGACACACUAACAAUUAGAUGUACACAGACACACUAACAAUUAGAUCUACACACAGACACACUAACAAUUAGAUGGACACACUAACAAUUAGAUCUACACACAGACCCACUAACAAUUAGAUGUACACACAGACACACUAUCAUUUGGUUCUAAAAAAAAGACACACACUAAUAUUUAGAUGUACACAAAGACAUAUUAAUAUUUAGAUGUACACACAUACACACUAACAUUUAGAUGUACACACAGACACACUAACAAUUAGAUUUACACACACACUAACAUUAACAUGUUAAUAACUUUUCUUCUUUUCUCUCUUCUCAGGAACUGCUUCAGAUGUUUUCCCAAUGAUUGUAUUAUUAUUAUUAUUGUUAAAUAUGUCAUCUGUUUAUUAUUUGAAUAAAAAUAAAACCAAAUGAAUCCAUCUUGUUUUCUUCAGACCAAAGAGAAUCACAU